GAUUUUGUCAGCCCCUUGUAGCAUUUUGGGCUGACAAAAUCGGGUACCUGACAAAAUCGGGACAUUUUUUAAAAUCAUUUUUUUAUUCAUGAAAAAUUGUUCUGAGCACAUCAGAGACGGAGAUAGGUGCUGAGGGUCUGCUUUGGGUUCGUUCAAAUAUUACGUAACGCCAAUUAGGGGGGGGGGGGUCCGCGCUGUGUUACGAUUUAUUCAAAAUUUUAAAAUUUCUCUUUCAAAAAUAGUUACGCGGCGAAGGGAUAGCGGAUAGGGUCCAAAAUUGCCAAAUUUUGCGUUACGUAAUAUUUGAACGAACCUUUUGUGGUAAAAAAAUCGAAAGGGUGUUAAGGGCACCGAAAAAAAUGGAAUUUUUUCAAAGUUAACAUUCAGUGUUAUUUUACAGCAGAACUAUUACAUCUUUUAUUUCUUGUCAUAACAUCCCUACUGGGACACAGCCUUCUCCUAGCUUAGCAAUUGUGGUCUACAGAAAACAGUUGACACUGGAUAGCGCAGUUUAAAUCAUAACAUCUUACAUUAGCUGUCAACGAGUGAAAAUGAACCAACAUCUGAUUGACAAGUACAGACACUCAUACUGUCCGAAUUGGCUACGUUUCCGAUGCCUUUCCACUUUAAUUUCCAGAGCCUUAUCUCUAAAGAGUCUCUCGAUAAAUCUUUGAAGGAAUGUUCGGGGAAAUUUUUAGAGAAACUACCCGAGUAUAUACGGAACAUAACCCUCAAAACAUUCCCGAAGGGAUCCCGUUAGUAGUUUCUGCAAAAAACCUUUACAGGAGCUCCGGAUAGAUCCCUUAAGUAAUUUCGGAAAGAAACCUUAGUGCAAUCUCCAUAGAAAUCUCUAGAGGCGUUUCUUUAGCAUUUUCUGAAAAAUCAUUGAAAGAAUCCCAAUUGCAAUCUUUGAAGAAAUUUCCUUGAGAAAUCCAUGGAGGAA